GCUAACGUCAAGAUCAUCUCAAUGGCACAGAGACACUGAGUGGAUAACGUAGCUAAUGCAGGACAUUUCCACGAUGAUUCACAUUCAGCUUUCACUUAAGGCAAGUUGGAAGAAAGGAGGAUACCAAGAUUAAGAAGAUCAAGGAGA